rnacentral:lncRNA from 1 species
CAAACUCAUGUACCUAUACCCUAUACCACAAAAACAGACAGAAACCUGGAAACUUUUCUCUUUUUUGUUUCUGAACUUUUAAUAGAUAAUAGUAAGCUAUAUCUAAGUUGCCCAUGAUUCAGAACAUGACUUUCUGAUGAAAAGAUGAUGAAACAGACAGGCAAGGUGGGCAGAAACAAAUUGGAAUGCUCAGCUACUCAGAGAAUGAAUUUAAUGAGCCUAACACUUUUUCUUUGAUUCUGCAGACUACACUUUCAGCUGAUGCAAGGGUUGGACACUUUGCUUUUCUCUUCAAUACAACAAGGUUCUGUAACUCUGGCACAUGGAAGAUGCUCAAUAAAUAUUUUUAACAAGUGAGUAAAAAUUAAAAUUAGCUCAUUGUGGAUUGUCUUCUUCAUAACCAAUACUGUUGCAUCUCUCUCUUAACAUAAGGUAAUAAUGACCACAUUUGUAUAACAGGGAUUAAACAUACAUAUCAACAGCAGCCAUUUUCUCAUUGUGUUUUGUAUGCAUGUACCAGUGCUUUUUCAGAGAUGCACAGUGCAAGUAAUAGAAUUAGGGGUUAUAUACAUUGAAAAAUGACUAUUAUCCAUUGCUAUGCAGUGUUGAAAGCAUGUAGCCUUUUUUUCUUAAAAGAUAAUAUUAAUGUAUGUACUUAAUGGAAAUUUGUUUCUUCAGAAUAAGGUCCUGUUAGUGCAGGUGGAUGCCUAAAUAGAAGCUACAGUUUCCUGCUUGAAUAUCUCCUCACUUGCUUUCAGGAAAGACAGUAAGUUAGAGCAGUUAGGGAUAUUAAUUCCAUGUUGCAGCAGCCUUCUGUCUGUGCUGACUCUGUGGCUCUCAAAGCUUUCUUUUAUGUAGGAUAGAGGAGACAGGGAGCUUUGGUUGAAAUUUAUUAAUAUUCUUUUUUCUUUGCUAGAAAUCAGCUGUAGCUGGAUGGUACAAUGGAGGAGAGUUAGUGGACAGCAGAACCUAUGAGGGCGAGGCGAUGCUGCUCUGAGAGGCAUGCUACUAAAUGAAGUUCAGGUUAUCAUUGCACCCAUCAGCACUCUGGAAAUGAAGCUAGAUUUAAGGGGUGCCUUUAGCUAGUUUGAAUGAAUGGAAUACAUAUGAUCUCUUUUUCAUAUUUUGUUUUAUAUGUUGUAUAUUCAGAAGUUGUGUGUUUCUUAGGAAAUAUGCCUUUGGAUUUCAGGGGAUUUAUUUGCUUAGUGCUAUUCCACAGCACAUGAUGUGUUUUCCUUUUAGAGACAAUGGCAGUGCUUGCUACAUUUUAUUAUUAUUGCUUUGUUGAUGUGCUUGGUUCAAAUUCCAAAAACAAAUGCAAUUAUUGCCUUCCAACUUUAUUUUUAGCUUCUUAAGAUUGAGUCUGCCUCUUGCCUAAAGCUACCUUUCAGUGUACAGGUUUAUAUAAUAUUAAAAAAGAAAUAAAGCCAAAAAUCUCCUUAUAAUAUUCUGGGAG